rnacentral:tRNA from 1 species
GCGAGGAUGGCGGAAUUGGCAGACGCACAAGAUUUAGGUUCUUGCGGCCGUAAGGCUGUGGGGGUUCAAGUCCCCCUCCUCGCA